AAAGAAGGAGAAGGAGGACCCAGAGGCGGAUUGAGUAAACGGACUUCUUUAUUAUGGUACUCGUUCCCCAAGAUCCAGUGGUGGAGUAAGCCCCGAGUUAAUCGUGUCACACUCUUUCAUCUAAGUUGAUAUAUUCCGAGGCCAGAAGGGACCAUUGUGAUGAUCAGUCUGACGUCCUGUAUAUCACAGACCAUAGAGCACAGCUCCCACAAUUUUGAUAGACAAGACCUAAACCAAGAAAGUCCUAUUGACUGUGAGUGGGAUCUUCCUUAGGCUUCUUGGAAAAUCUCAGCCUUUGCCCUUUAUAACAGGACCACCCGAGACCUAGGAAAUAAAGACGAUGACAAGUGUAACAUUGAAAAAGUGAAAGCAUGGAACAUGCGAACUCUGCAUGGGUCUGCAGGAGAAGGAAUGGACUGAGAGGUGACAGGAGCCUAGAUACAAGCUGGCCUCUGGAGACACCCGGGCUCACCUGGGAUUGACAGACAAAAGGACAGAGACAGAGAGAGGAAACUAGAUGUUCUCUUCAGCAGCAUGACUCAAGCAAGCCCUGGCUUGGCCAGCCCGGACUAUGUCUUAACCUUUGCUUCUCUGUGCUAACCUAAGGACUUCCUGGUGCUGGGUUCC